GGGCUCUGCUGUUGACCUCCAAUGCAGGAGAAAAGCAAGCUGCCAGGAGCUGUUGUGUAUGUUUGCCCUCCUAUCCUGCUAAUGCAUAUUGGACAGCUUCACACUGCUGCUUUAAAGCAGAUGUUCUUGAAGAGCUGGAGGGGCAGGGCUGGCCGGAGCAUCUCUGCACAGGUAUCUGCAGAUGUGAGUUCCACAUGCAGAUCUCUUGCUCUUCAGACUUCAAAACCUGAUUUCAUAGGUCUUUUCUAUAUAUUUGAGGUCAUCCAUACUGAGAAUAAGAAGCCUGACAGCUGCUAACAGCAAAGAAUACAGAUGAUAAUCAGAGCUGAUAAUCACCUGUCAUAUAAAAAAAAAAUAAAUAAAAUGAAAAAGACA
rnacentral:lncRNA from 1 species